UCCCGUCUUUGACACGGACUACCAGUGCUUUGUGAUACGCUCUCAAAGAGUCGAGUUGUCUGGGAAUGCAGCUCAAAAUGGGUGGUAAAUUCCAUCUAAAGCUAAAUAUUGGCGAGAGACCGAUAGCGAACAAGUACCGUGAGGGAAAGAUGAAAAGCACUUUGGAAAGAGAGUUAAACAGUACGUGAAAUUGCUGGAAGGGAAGCGCUUGAAGUCAGUCGCGUUGUUCAGAACUCAACCUGGUUUUACUUGGUGCACUUUCUGAAUGACGGGCCAACAUCAGUUUUGACUGUCGGAUAAAAGCCUUUGGAAUGUGGCACCUCCGGGUGUGUUAUAGCCUUUGGUUGUAUACGAUGGUUGGGAUUGAGGAUCGCAGCACGCCUUUUGGCCGGGGUUCACCCACGUACGUGCUUAGGAUGUUGGCGUAAUGGCUUUAAACGACCCGUCUUGAAACACGGACCAAGAAGUCUAACAUGCCUGCGAGUGUUUGGGUGGAAAACCCGAGCGCGCAAUGAAAGUGAAAGUUGGGAUCCCUGUCGUGGGGAGCACCGACGCCCAUACCAGACCUUCUGUGACGGAUAUGCGGUUGAGCAUGUAUGUUGGGACCCGAAAGAUGGUGAACUAUGCCUGAAUAGGGUGAAGCCAGAGGAAACUCUGGUGGAAGCUCGUAGCGAUUCUGACGUGCAAAUCGAUCGUCAAAUUUGGGUAUAGGGGCGAAAGACUAAUCGAACCAUCUAGUAGCUGGUUCCUGCC
rnacentral:rRNA from 1 species